GCCAGGCACAAUGGCGCGUGCCUGUAGUCCCAGCUACUUGAAAGGCUGAGACUGGAGGAUCGCUUGAGUCCAGGAGUUCUGGGCUAUAGUGCAUUAUGCCGAUCGGGUGUCCGCACUAAGUUCGGCAUCAAUAUGGUGAUCUCCCGGGAGUGGGGUACCACCAGGUUACCUAAGGAGAGGUGAACCGGCCCAGGUCGGAAACAGAGCAGGUCAAAACUCCCGUGCUCAUCAGUAGUGGGAUCACGAUUGUGAAUAGCCACUGCACUCCAGCCUGGGCAACAUAGCAAGACCACAU
ensembl:misc_RNA Metazoa_SRP Metazoan signal recognition particle RNA